rnacentral:tRNA from 1 species
AGAGACUUAGGAUAAGACAAGACCAAGGACCUUCAAAGCCCUAAGCAGGAGUGAAAAUCUCCUAGUCCCUG